UACGGAGGGUGCAAGCGUUAAUCGGAAUUACUGGGCGUAAAGCGUGCGCAGGCGGCUAUGCAAGACAGAUGUGAAAUCCCCGGGCUCAACCUGGGAACUGCAUUUGUGACUGCAUAGCUAGAGUACGGUAGAGGGGGAUGGAAUUCCGCGUGUAGCAGUGAAAUGCGUAGAUAUGCGGAGGAACACCGAUGGCGAAGGCAAUCCCCUGGACCUGUACUGACGCUCAUGCACGAAAGCGUGGGGGAGCAAACAGG
rnacentral:rRNA from 1 species